rnacentral:lncRNA from 1 species
CCCUCAGUGACUAGCGGAGGUAAACCGCAGGUUGUGCCCUUGUUGGAUCACAGGUUCCCACCCGGUCUAAACUCCUGGCCUCAAGAGAGCUUUCCUCCAUAGUGAUUGAUCCACCAAUAAAUUGCCUCUUUAUUGGAUCACAGGUUCCCACCAGGAAUCGAACUCUCCACGCUGAGGUUGCAAGCGCGCCAAAGGUGAUUGAUCCACCA